rnacentral:rRNA from 1 species
AGAGUUUGAUCAUGGCUCAGGAUGAACGCUAGCGGCAGGCUUAACACAUGCAAGUCGAGGGGCAGCGCGUGUAGCAAUACAUGGCGGCGACCGGCGAAAGGGUGAGUAACGCGUGAGCAACGUGCCCGUAUGUGGGGGAUAGUCGAUGGAAACGUCGCGUAAUACCCCGUAACACAAAUCUUCGCAUGGGGAUUUGUUGAAAGAUUUAUUGCAUACGGAUCGGCUCGCGUGCCAUUAGGUAGACGGCGGGGUAACGGCCCACCGUGCCGACGAUGGCUAGGGGUUCUGAGAGGAAGGUCCCCCACAUUGGAACUGAGACACGGUCCAGACUCCUACGGGAGGCAGCAGUGAGGAAUAUUGGACAAUGGCCGGAAGGCUGAUCCAGCCAUGCCGCCGUGCGGGAAGACGGCCCUAUGGGUUGUAAACCGCUUUUGCGAGGGAGCAAUAAGGGUAACGUGUUGCCCGAUGGGAGUACCUCGCGAAUAAGCAUCGGCUAACUCCGUGCCAGCCGCCGC